rnacentral:lncRNA from 1 species
AAACACUCUCAAUUAUAUAUCAUAUAAAUAAUCAUAAAAAAAUUUAUUUUGCAUGCAUAUAUUUUUGGCCUGCUCUAAUACCAGUUGAAAGGAAGGAAACAGUUUUCCUACAGAAUGCCCAGGUUGCAUCUAAAUUUUUUUUUUAAUGUUCUACUUGUUUAAGAAUAAAAUUCUUUACCUGAAUCAUAGUAGAACUAGGGAUCAAAUCCUAAAUUAUAUGAUAUAAAUCUUCACAGAGGCCUGGAUAUGCAGAUCCUCUACUUCACAUGCACGUCAGACGCUGCAGGAAAGCAGGAUGAACUCCAAUCCAAUUGACUUCGCAUACACAAUCAAUCAAGAGAUAAGAUGUGAUGAUAUGACACCUCACACUAGUAGGUAGGAUGCCUAAGAAGGAUCCAUGCCCAAAGAGAGGAGGCGGCAACAA